CAACCUCAGAUAGACGUAACAACCCACUGAAUUUAAGCAUAUUACUAAGUGGAGGAAAAUAAACUAACCAGGAUUCCCUCAGUAAUGGAGAGUGAAGAGGGAAGAGCCCAGUGUAAAAUCCCCACGUGGGUGACGGGUGCAGGGAAAUGUGGCACAUGGAGUUCUGUUUCCCUGGUACCACCCAGGGGCCCCAAGUCCUUGUGAUUGAGGCUAAGCCCAUGGAUGAUGUCAAGCCAGUGGCAGGCCUGGCACAUGGAUCAAGUCCUCCUGUUGCUAGGUUGCUUGUGGAUGGAUCCCAAAGUGGGUGGAAAACUCCAUCUAAGACUAAACACUGGCAUGAGACCUAUAGUGGUCAAGUACUGUAAAGGAAAGUUGAAAAAGAACUUUGAAGAGAGAGUUCAAAAGGGCAUGAAAUCAUUCAGAGGUAAAGGGGUGGAGUCCAUGCAGUCCACCUGGAGGCUUCAACUCAGCAGCCAGGCAAGUUGGAUCCCCCUCUCCAGGCAUGCAGGCCAUCAUCAGGUGCACUUCCUCAGUGGCGGUGUGCAGCAACCAGCUCUGGGUCAGCUGGAAAGGCUGUGCAGAUUGUGGCUCUCCUCCCUGGAGAGGAGUGUUACAGCCACAUUCACCCCUGCUGGGGGCCUCCAGCUCCUGGUGGGACUGUUCACUGGGCUGGACUAUUCCCAGUGUGGCCUGAUUGUAUCCCACCGCCAUGCCGAUGGGCUCACCUUGGAUGCCUGGGUUCCACUGUGAUGUCGAUGCCCCACCUGUCCCCUCUUGAGACAUGACAAAUGAGUCUAACAUGUGUUUGAGUCCUAGGGUGGGCAGGAGACCUCACUAUGCAAUGAAAGUGAGGGCCAGUGUGCAUCAGCCAAAGCGGGAUCCCCCAGCCCAUGCAGGGCAUGCACUGCUGGCCCAUCUCACCCAUCUCGUCUGGAAGGUGGAGUGUGAGCGUAGCUGGUGGGACCUGAAAGAUGGUGAACUAUGCUUGGGAAGGGCAAAGCCAACUCUGGUUGAGGUCCAUAGUGGUCCUGAUGUGCAAAUCAGAUAUCUGAUCUGGGUAUUGGAGUGAAAGACUUAUCGAAUCAUCUAGUAGCUGGUUCCCCCUGAAAUUUCCCUCAGGAUAGCUGGCGCUCAGCAGAUGCAGUUUUAUCUGGUAAAGUGAAUGAUUACAGGUCAUGGGGCUGAAACAAUCUGAACCUAUUCUCAAACUUUAAAUGGGUAAGAAGCCCAACUUGCUAGCUUGGAGCUGGGCAUGGAAUGCAAGUGCCUAGUGGACCACUUUUGGUAAGCAGAACUGGUGCUGUGGGAUGAAUCAAAUGCCAGGUUAAGGUGCCCAAUGUCAACGCUCAUCAGACCCCAGAAAAGGUCCUAGUUGAUAUAGACAGUAGGAUGGUAGCCACAGAAGUUGGAAUCCACUAAGGAGUGUAUAACAACUCAUCUGCCAAAUCAACUAGCCCUGAAAAAUGGAUGCCACUGGAGCAUCAGGCUCAUACCCAGCCAUCACCUGUGCUGGGAGCUGAGGGGGCUAGUCCACAAUGAGUAGGAGGGUUGCUGCAGUAGCACUGAAGCCCAGGGCAAGGGCCUGGGUGGAGCUGCCAUGGGUGCAGAUCUUGGUGGUAGUAGCAAAUAUUCAAAUGAGAGCUUUGAAGGCCAAAGUGGGGAAAGGUUCCAUGUGAACAGCAGUUUAAAAUGGGUCAGUCAGUCCUGAGAGAUAGGCAAGUGCUGUUCCAAAGGGAUGGGCAAUGGCCUUCGUUGACCUUGGCUGAUUGAAAGGGAAUCGGGUUCAGAUCCCUGAAUCUGGAGAGGCAGAGACAGGUGCCUUGUGCUGUCCAGUGUGGUGAUGCAAAUGAUCCUGGAGAAACUGGCGGGGGCCCUUGGGAAAGUUCUCUUUUCUUUGUAAAGGGCAGGGUGCCCCCAGAAUGGGUUUACCCUGAAAGAGGGGCCCACACCCUAGAAAGCGUCAAAGUUCUGGUGGUGUCAGGUGAGCUCUCACUGGCCCUUGAAAAAUCUGGGGAAGAGGGUGUAAGUCUUGUGCAGGGCAGUAUCCAUAUCCACUGCAGUUCUCCAAGGUGAAAAGUCUCUGGCAUGUUAGAACAAUGUAGGUAAGGGAAGUCGGCAAGUCAGAUCCCUAACUUCAGGAUAAGGAUUGGCUCUAAGGGCCGGGUCAGUUGGGCUUGAGUGUGAAGUGGGGCUGAACAUGAGCUGUGGCUGGAUGAAACUUCAUCCCAUUGCCACACCCACCUUCCCGGCGGCUGGGAGGGGAAGGUGGAGGUGACUCUGGAUGUGCACUGGGCCCUUCCUGUGGAUCACCCUGGCUGUGGUGGGCGCUGCUCCCGACCGGCAUACCACAUCUUCCAGCAGCUAGCAGCUGACUUAGAACUGGUGCAGACUGGGGGGGAAUCUCACUGUUUAAUUAAAACAAAGCAUCAUGAAGGCCCAAGGUGGGUGUUGACGCAAUGUGAUUUCUGCCUAGUGCUCUUAAUGUCAAAGAGAAGAAAUUCAAUGAAGCAUGGGUAAAUGGUGGGAGUAACUAUGACUCUCUUAAGGUAGCUAAAUAUCAUGUCAUCUAAUUAGAGACAUGCAUGAAUGAAUGAGAUUCCUGUUGUCCUACCUACUAUCUAGCGAAACCACAGCCAAUGGAACAGGCUUGGCAGAAUCAGCGGGGAAAGAAGGCCCUGUUGAGCUUGACUCUAGUCUGGAACUGUGAAGAGACAUGAGAGGUGUAGAAUAAGUGGGAGGCCUUGGCUCUUGCUGAAGUACCACUAUUCUUAUCAUUUUUUCACUUACCCAGUGAAGUGGGGGGGCAAGCCCCAUCAGAGCUCUCGCUUCUGGCUCCAAGCACCCUGGCAUCCAGGUGUGACCGCCUCCAGGGACAGUGUCAGUUAGGGAGUUUGAAUGGGGCGGUACACCUGUCAGAAUAAUGCAGGUGUCCUAAUGCGAGCUCAGUGAGGACAGAAACCUCCCAUGGAGCAGAAGGGCAAAAGCUUGUUUGAUACUGAUUUUCAGUAUGAAUACAGGCCGUGAAAGCAGGGCCUCACAAGCCUUCUGGCUUUUUGGAUCUUAAGCAAGAGGUGUCAGAAAUGUUACCACAGGGAUAACUGGCUUGUGGUGGCCAAGCAUUCAUAGCAACAUUGCUUUUUGAUCCUUCAAUGUCAGCUUUUCCUAUUAUUGUGAAGCAGAAUUCACCAAGUGUUGGAUUGUUCACCCACUAAUAGGGAACAUGAGCUGGAUUUAGACCGUCAUGAGGCAAGUUAGUUUUAUCCUACUGAUGAUGUGUUGUUGUGAUAUUAAUCCUGCUCAGUAUGGGAGAAACCAUAGGUUUAGACAUUUGGUGUAUGUGCUUGGCUGAGGAGCCAAUAGUGCAAAGCUACCAUCUGUGGGAUUAUGACUGAAUGCCUCUAAGUCAGAAGCCCACCUAAACAUAAUGAUACUGCAGCACCGUGGAUCUCUGGUUGGCCAGGAAUAGCUGGCUGUAAGGUCGAUGAGGAGUGCCACUCACCACUGGGUCAGAGAGUGGAUGGAAGGGGGCCACCUCUCUCCAGCAAUGCACUGUACAUUCAUGGGAAACCAGAUGCUAAAUCAUUCAUCAACAAUGUUAUUUUGUCAUGGUUUCGUAUGUAGCAGAGCAGCAAAAAGCUGUGAUUUAUUGAUAGUCAGCUGCAAAGCCAAGCUUUUGU